AGUGCGGCAUCAGCACGUAACUUAACAGUGUCUUCUCGGAGCUUCUGCGUGUCUCCUCUACGCGGGAACACCACAGGAAGAAUCAUCCAAGACGUCACUAAUCAGUAAGGAUCAAGAGACCGCAGCCGCGGACGUGGGUGCCCUGCCAGACGGCGGGGUCUGCGCCCUGGCGAUGUCGGUGGCUGGGGUAUGUGGCUGGUGGCACACGGGGCCGUCUCGGCAGACAGGAGUCCCACGUUCGAACCUAUCCUGAGGCAGCUGCUGGGCUACGUGUACACCGUCCAGGCCCGCCAGCUGCCUGGUGUGGUCCCCCAAGUGCUGGCAGCAGCUGACAAGUACAGCUGGUUGGCCCUGGAGGCUGUGUGUGAGCAGCAGGUGGCCGCAUAGCCGGCAGUGGAGACUGCGUUGGAUGUAGCUCUACUUGCGCCGAGGCUCUCGUGCCCCGUCCUCGCUGUGCUUGCUGUCCCCUUCGUACAGGACCACUCUGAGGUGAUGGCCACCCAGAGCUGGGCAGACUCUGUGCUCAAGUACCCAAAAGAUGUCACUGAUGUGAGCCGUCUGCUCGGAGAGCCACCAGCAGAUGCCUGGAGCUCGUCUGCAGAGAAGAGAGGCAGUAGGCUGUUCCAGGCAGCUGCGUAGGGGGCAGUGGGGGAGCUGAGGCUGCUGGUCACCGCAGGGGCCGGCGCUGAGACGAGGGGUCGGAGGUCGUUCUGGAGGGGGCCGCCCCGCACUUUGCAGCAAGGGAGGGGCGCGUGGAAGGGCCGGGGUGCCUCGUGGAGGGCGGUGCCACAGUACACGGCCGCAGGGAAUGGUCACCCAGCUGUGGCCCAGCUGCUGUUGUGCCCUCGGCCGAUCCCAAAUGCCAGGGAUGACAACUGGUGGAUGCCGCUGCACACUGUGCACCGUGCAGUAGUCACGCAGAUGUGGCGGCUACGCGCUGCCCGUGGUGGGGGCCGAAGGGGUAGGGCAGGACUCCAGAUUGCCCCGCACGACCCUGGAUCUCGGCCAGGAAGGGCUACGAGAGGCAUCUGAUGGAGAUGCUGUCGUGAGGCAUCCAGUCCAGAGAACUCCUCUGCAAUAAAUAUUCUUUCUUUUAACCAAAGAAUGCCCAGAUUCAAUCUUAUUGAUGACGUUAGAUAAACAAUAGGCAAAAAUGUGUCGAGUAUGCUUGUAGGCUAACUUUUGAAAAGACAAUGGGGACUGAAAAAUAACUCAGUUCAUUGUGAAUAAAAACAACUACUCUAAUAUCCGAUUGGUGAAAAGUAUUUCACAUCAGCCUAAAAGCUGCUGUAUCAAAAACCAGUAAUUUGCAACCAACUGAGAUUACUGUGUAUGAGUUCUGUGACUAUAAUUGUCACUUCUGAUAUCAGACUCUGUUUACUUCUGCAUAUUCACCAGACAUUGUACAGUACUGUACCGCUUUUGUUUAAUUACAAUGUCAUAUUAGUAUCAAUAUUCACACCUCACAAUGCACUUAUCAUCGGGAACUAUACAAGCAGUCCACAUUUAACUAAAGAGAAUGGACCUUUACUCUGGUGUUACAGUAAAUUUCCCCACUUUCUUCCAUAUUCUCCUCCCGUCGGUCUGCAGUGCUGUUCCUUCAGCCAGGAGUCGCAUCAGCUGAGCACCUGUAGGGGCCGCCGUGCAACCCACCACCCACACUGCCCCCAGCGACUGUCUGCAGAACUGUGGCUCUCAUCCACUCUGCGACACACCAGAACGUCACGCCUUUCCCACUAUCAUUGUGCUGGUAAUAUACUGUGGCAUGACUAUCCACAUAGAAAGAACUUUGCAAUUUGCAAAAAUGAGUUAGAAAACAGUAUAAUAAGCAGUUAACAGUGGUUAAAUGCUGAAUUGCAGCUGAGAACCAGACAGCAACUACAGUGUAUCCUCAAAGCUCUCAUACAGUGGCAGAAACUUGGGGAAUUUAUGUCCCUGCGGGUUGGCUACCCACGCCUUCCAAGGCUGAAGAUUUUUGCUGCUGGACGACUCUCAUGGACGAAAUCGAUGUUUUGGAAGCUCCCCCUGUUGCCUGCUGCUGCUGCUGGCUACCGCCCGUCACUGCCAACUUCUGGUGUUCAUCGCCAUCUGCUGCUGUCCAAUGCUGCCUAUUGUUGGUGCCGUCGCCACGUACUCCUGGUGCCGUCGCCGUCAACCGAUGGGGCCCGUCACCGGCUAAUGCUGGUACCCAUUGCCGCCACCAUCACUGCUGUCGUCCGUCGCCGUUGCUGUCCUUUCCGGUCUUCCCAUCUCUGACUCCUGAUUAGCCCUGUCUUCCUUUUUUCUCCCUACCUCAGCAACGCCAGAGGUGUUGGUGGUAUCGAAUGCCCACCUGCCCUAGAAAUCCGCUCAGCGCGACGCAUCUGCGACGACUCUGGCCCUACCUUCCCAAGGCACGUGUUUACAGAUUCUGCCUCCUCUACUGAUCAUCUCACUCGGGGAGCUCUCAUUUUUCACUGUCGCCUCCUCAGUUCUACUCCUGACAACGGUGCUCCCUAUACAGUGAUCACUUCACCCAAAAUUGCAGAAACCCCCAACCUACCUCCAUUGUACAGCCCCCCACUUUCUAAAACAGUGUCCUAACCUUGCGUCUCCUCUUUACUGCAAGACCUGCAGUAAAUCCCUUCCAAUUUACUUCUACAAAUGCAACACCACACCCCCUCUCAACAGCCCCGAGCUUACUGUCACCGUUCACCCCACCGAUCAGCCCAUCCACCCUAAUUCCCUUUGCCUACCCCCUAUGGCCAGAGAGAUCAUCCAUUAACUCAUCAUUGUUCUCCAGAACAUACACCCCUUCCAAUGCCCCCACACCCUCCAGUACAUAUCCCUUGCUGCCUCCUCCAUCUUCCAUUUGAACACCUACACCAUCUAAUCCUACAACCAGGCCCACUUCACCUUUACCUGCCUCUACACUCUCAUUUAAGCCUCUCUCUUCUCCCCUCUCCUGCUCCUCGGAGUGCCAUCCGACCCCAUUUUUCCAUCCCACCAUCUCCAGCUCCUCGUUCCCCCACUGCCACCUCCAUUCUCUUACCUUCUUUCAGGCCUCCCUCCCUCAGCAGGUCUCUCCUGUCUUCUUUCUCAUGAUUUUAAUCCUUGUCAUGUGUGCCACACCUACUGCACUGUUUUUGAAGUCCUGUUGUUUUGGAUUUUAAUACUGUGGCCUACUUUCAUCUUGGGCCUGUGACUCCAGUGUGUUUUAAGUGCUACAUACAUCAUCAAGUGUGUUUCUGUUUGCGUGUGGGCCCUUUUUAACUGUGUCCCACAGUGAACACCUCGAUGUCAGCAUAUUUUUAGCCCCAUUAUGUUCUUAUAUUCCCCUUUUACUGCCUUAUUUGUUUUGUGUCAGCUUUCUUUCUUCCUUUUUUUAAUUUCAUGUAAUAUC